UGGAGGGACAUUUGAAAUUAAUAUUUAAAACUUAAAACUUAUUAUUUAAUUCUUAAUAUUUAAAAUUUAGUUCUUAAUAUUUAAAAACUAAUUCUUAAUACUUAAAAAUUAAGAUCAGAAUACAUAAGACGCGGGUAUUUGAAUUCAACGGUCUCAUGGGACUCUUGCACGAAGAAAAACUGGCAAAUUCGUUGUAGCUGCUUACAGGUCAUAAACAUGGAGAUCCCGUUGAUGUUUGCCUUAUCGUUUUAUUGAAAGUGACUCCUGUGUCAACAGUUGUGUCAUCCCUAUUGCCAUCUGAAAAUUGACGCAGAAAUUGUGUGACUUCUCCUUUGUCGCCACAACAUACGUCUUGGUCUUCGUCAGUUUAAGAGGAUACUCCGUUGUAAUAAUUCAGGGCGUCACCGUGUCAUGUAUACUCCACAAGAAAUAGAAAAAUAAUUGCAGUUUAGCGGAGACUUCUUAUUGUACCAAGGUGGAUGAAUACGUUGAAGGAUUUGAGAGCUCGAGGACGAAUCGAUACGUCAAACCCUAUUCAUGCACAAUGCUUGCGAUUUUAUGUAACAGAUGUUCUUCAAGCGGGAUUUUAUGGCAUUGUAUACGCAAUGUAUGACCACAGAAACAUGUAGACAUUUGUACUGGAAGACCAGAAAUAAAAUGCUGUUUAAUGUGCUAGAACUAUCAGGUUCUACUGAGUAUGGUGUUAAUGUUGAUUUGUAGGAUAUUGAAUAUGAAAAAAAAUCCAGAUUAUUGAACAUUAGACAAUAAUAUAUAUACUUUUUAAUGAAUAAACAUUGAUGUUCAUGGUU